UGGUGGAGUGAUUUGUCUGGUUAAUUCCGUUAACGAGCGAGACCAAUACUUACUAAAUAAACCGCAGAACCGUCUAAUAUGCCGUGAAGGGAAGCCGGCAGUGUGGCCUAACCGCUGCGCUCUGACUUCUUGGAUGGGUUGAUGAGUUGUGCGCUGUUUUCUUAGGAGGACUGCUGCCUUCAAGGCAGAGGAAGUGAUUGGCAAUAACA
rnacentral:rRNA from 1 species